GAUGAACGCUGGCGGCGUGCCUAAUACAUGCAAGUCGAGCGAAUGGAUUAAGAGCUUGCUCUUAUGAAGUUAGCGGCGGACGGGUGAGUAACACGUGGGUAACCUGCCCAUAAGACUGGGAUAACUCCGGGAAACCGGGGCUAAUACCGGAUAAUAUUUUGAACUGCAUGGUUCAAAAUUGAAAGGCGGCUUCGGCUGUCACUUAUGGAUGGACCCGGGUCGCAUUAGCUAGUUGGUGGGGUAACGGAUCACCAAGGCAACGAUGCGUAGCCGACCUGAGAGGGUGAUCGGACACACUGGGACUGAGACACGGCCCAGACUCCUACGGGAGGCAGCAGUAGGGAAUCUUCCGCAAUGGACGAAAGUCUGACGGAGCAACGCCGCGUGAGUGAUGAAGGCUUUCGGGUCGUAAAACUCUGUUGUUAGGGAAGAACAAGUGCUAGUUGAAUAAGCUGGCACCUUGACGGUACCUAACCAGAAAGCCACGGCUAACUACGUGCCAGCCGCCGCAGUAA
rnacentral:rRNA from 1 species